rnacentral:rRNA from 1 species
GACGAACGCUGGCGGCGUGCUUAACACAUGCAAGUCGAACGGAAAGGCCCUGCUUUUGUGGGGUGUUCGAGUGGCGAACGGGUGAGUAACACGUGAGUAACCUGCCCUUGACUUUGGGAUAACUUCAGGAAACUGGGGCUAAUACCGGAUAGGAGCUCCUGCUGCAUGGUGGGGGUUGGAAAGUUUCGGCGGUUGGGGAUGGACUCGCGGCUUAUCAGCUUGUUGGUGGGGUAGUGGCUUACCAAGGCUUUGACGGGUAGCCGGCCUGAGAGGGUGACCGGCCACAUUGGGACUGAGAUACGGCCCAGACGCCUACGGGAGGCAGCAGUGGGGAAUAUUGCACAAUGGGCGGAAGCCUGAUGCAGCAACGCCGGGUGCGGAAUGACGGCCUUCGGGUUGUAAACCGCUUUCGCCUGUGACGAAGCGUGAGUGACGGUAAUGGGUAAAGAAGCACCGGCUAACUACGUG